GUCAUCCACCCACGGAACUCACAGACGUACGGCAGGAGCGGGGGACCCAGGUAAGCGCCGGACCGGCCGCCUUGAUGGCGCACCGGACCGGCUAGGGGUGAAGUCGCGCUGCCGUACGGCAGCACGGCCGGGCAUCUCCCGCCCGAACCCGACAGCUCACCUCGCAGGCGCCGGAGAGGAACA
rnacentral:sRNA from 1 species